rnacentral:rRNA from 1 species
CUGGCCGUAAACGAUGGAUACUAGGUGUAGGAGGUAUCGACCCCUUCUGUGCCGGAGUUAACGCAAUAAGUAUCCCGCCUGGGGAGUACGACCGCAAGGUUGAAACUCAAAGGAAUUGAC